CCCUUUUGGCUGGUCCAUCCCUCUAUCUCAUUUGGUUCUCUUUUCAUUUCAUUUCACAUUUUUCCCUCUUUCUCCCUCUCACUCUACCAUCGAUACCCCACUCCCCACAUCAUCAUCUCCACCAUCAUUUUUCCGGCAAGAUCACCAGAAAAACUUCUUAGGAACUCUUUCAUCUUCACAUCUUUUAUUUGAGGGUGUGACAGCGAGAGAGGGAGAGUUGGGGUCUCCGGCGGGGGUUCUUUUGUCACUGAUCUACGACGGAGUGACUUGGUGAACAUGGACAAGGCAAGAACAGAGCAAAGAGAGGCUGAGGGGCUUUGGUGCGAGAGAAGGAAGAACUGAGAGGCAGAUGUCUUUUAGGGCUUUUAGUCGAUUGUUAUGCUCAAACCAGGAUCAAUCGGUUUUUUUUCUCAUAAUCCUAGACAUAUAUAAGGAUUAUUUUUAGGACCGUCAAAGGUGAUGCAAUUGGAUGCAAAGUGAUUAUUCACUCAAAUUGUGACCGAAGACAAUUUGCCUUAGUUCAUAUUUCUCUUGAAGAAGCUG